AUGGGGGGCGGGGCCUCGGACGGAGGAAGCCGGCGCCCGCCGCGGGGUGGAGCCUUUCCAGAGGUUCUCGCGGGAACAGCGACCCCUCCUGGGUCGCGGCGGCGCAGUCGCGGGGCGCGCCGGAAGUUGGGGCCGCGGCGCCGCGGGGAGGUCGCGCCGUAGCCUCCAGAGCCGAGUGGCUGAGGUCGGCGUGCAGGUUAGGCCCCGGAAACCGCAAGCAGAGAUAACCCCAAUUCUUCCCCCCCCCUUUUUUUUUCCUAAAGAUUUAUUUAUUUGUUCAUGACAGACCCAGAGAGAGAGAGAGGCAGAGGGAGAAGCAGGCUCCCUGCAGGGAGCCCGACGCGGGACUCGAUCUCGGGACUCCGGGAUCACGCCCUGGGCCGAAGGCCGGCGCUCAGCCGCUGAGCCACCCGGGCGUCCCCCUUUUUUUGUUGUAAGAGAAAAUUGGAAAAUUGUAGCGUCGGAUUACACCCUCCGUGAGAUCAGAACCAACAGUUCGCUGUCAUCCUGUAGCACCCGGUUGCAGAAUAGGGUUGAAGUUAUAGUCCCCACCGAGCCGGCUGUUCAUGCAGCAUGACCGGGGAUCUUCUGUGCACCAGGACUGAGUCAGGGGCUGGUCAAGACUGUCCCGGGCCGCAAGGAGCUCGCAGUUCGGUUACUUGACAACCGUCGGGGUCUUCACGCCCCCACCUGAAGCUCUUUUAACAGUUUGCAGCUGCAGGGACUUUGUGACUGCCUGGAUUACCGGAGCAACACUCUAGGCCUCCUAUGUGCAAAAGUACGGUGACGGGGGACACGAAAUGCCAGGUGGAGGACACAUAGAAGUAUAAAGUGGCACAUUGUACCAUUAUUCUCUACCUUUGGCUUACUAAUGAGUGAGGAAAGACUAAAAGGAAGAACUAUGGAUUGCCCUUUCCUUCUGUCAUCCUGUUCCAUGGUGUUUUAUUUAUUUAUUCAUGAGAGACACAGAGAGAGUGGCAGAGACACAGGCAGAGGGAGAAGCAGGCUCCAUGCAGGGAGCCCAACGUGGGACUCUAUCCUGGGUCUCCAGGAUCACACCCUGGACUGAAGGCAGCGCUAAACCUCUGAGCCACCCAACAUGCCCAUGGUUUUCAAAUAAUGACAAUUUUGUCACUUUCAUCAUUAUAUUGUUAUAUUUGUCUUUUUACAUUUGUUAGUGCCUUUAGCGUAAUAUUGAUUAAGAGCAAUGCUAGUAGAUGUCUUGGUACAUUCCUGAUGUUAAUGGGAAUUCUUCUCAUGUUUUCUAGAAAUCAUGAUGCUUGAUACUGAAUUGUCUAGAUAUUUGUUAAAGUUCCU